rnacentral:rRNA from 1 species
AGAGUUUGAUCAUGGCUCAGGACGAACGCUGGCGGCGUGCCUAACACAUGCAAGUCGAGCGGUUCGUUACUUAACACUGAGUGUUCAGAGGAAACAAUGAAUACUGAGUGUUAAGUAACGGAUAGCGGCGGACGGGUGAGUAACGCGUGGGCAACCUACCUUUCACAGGGGGAUAACACAGGGAAACUUGUGCUAAUACCGCAUAACAUUAAGAAGCGACAUCGCUUUUUAAUCAAAGGAGAAAUCCAGUGAAAGAUGGGCCCGCGUCCGAUUAGCUAGUUGGUGGUGUAAUGGACCACCAAGGCGACGAUCGGUAGCCGAACUGAGAGGUUGAUCGGCCACAUUGGGACUGAGACACGGCCCAGACUCCUACGGGAGGCAGCAGUGGGGAAUAUUGCACAAUGGAGGAAACUCUGAUGCAGCAACGCCGCGUGAAGGAUGAAGGUUUUCGGAUUGUAAACUUCUUUGAUUGGGGACGAAUAAAUGACGGUACCCAAGGAACAAGCCACGGCUAACUACGUGCCAGCAGCCGCGGUAAUACGUAGGUGGCGAGCGUUGUCCGGAAUUACUGGGUGUAAAGGGCGUGUAGGCGGGACUGUAAGUCAGAUGUGAAAUUCCAGGGCUUAACUCUGGAGCUGCAUCUGAAACUAUGGUUCUUGAGUGCUGGAGAGGAAAGCGGAAUUCCUAGUGUAGCGGUGAAAUGCGUAGAUAUUAGGAGGAACACCAGUGGCGAAGGCGGCUUUCUGGACAGUAACUGACGCUGAGGCGCGAAAGCGUGGGGAGCAAACAGGAUUAGAUACCCUGAUAGUCCACGCUGUAAACGAUGGAUACUAGGUGUAGGAGGUAUCGACCCCUUCUGUGCCGCAGUUAACACAAUAAGUAUCCCACCUGGGGAGUACGGCCGCAAGGUUGAAACUCAAAUGAAUUGACGG